rnacentral:rRNA from 1 species
GAUGAACGCUGGCGGCGUGCCUAAUACAUGCAAGUCGAGCGAAUGGAUUGAGAGCUUGCUCUUAUGAAGUUAGCGGCGGACGGGUGAGUAACACGUGGGUAACCUGCCCAUAAGACUGGGAUAACUCCGGGAAACCGGGGCUAAUACCGGAUAACAUUUUGAACAGCAUGGUUCGAAAUUGAAAGGCGGCUUCGGCUGUGACUUAUGGAUGGACCCGCGUGGCAUUAGCUAGUUGGUGAGGUAACGGCUCACCAAGGCAAGGAUGCGUAGCCGACCUGAGAGGGUGAUCGGCCACACUGGGACUGAGACACGGCCCAGACUCCUACGGGAGGCAGCAGUAGGGAAUCUUCCGCAAUGGACGAAAGUCUGACGGAGCAACGCCGCGUGAGUGAUGAAGGCUUUCGGGUCGUAAAACUCUGUUGUUAGGGAAGAACAAGUGCUAGUUGAAUAAGCUGGCACCUUGACGGUACCUAACCAGAAAGCCACGGCUAACUACGUGCCAGCAGCCGCAGUAA